rnacentral:rRNA from 1 species
UACGUAGGGUGCAAGCGUUAAUCGGAAUUACUGGGCGUAAAGCGUGCGCAGGCGGUGAUGUAAGACAGGUGUGAAAUCCCCGGGCUUAACCUGGGAACUGCAUUUGUGACUGCAUCGCUGGAGUGCGGCAGAGGGGGAUGGAAUUCCGCGUGUAGCAGUGAAAUGCGUAGAUAUGCGGAGGAACACCGAUGGCUAAGGCAAUCCCCUGGGCCUGCACUGACGCUCAUGCACGAAAGCGUGGGGAGCAAACAGG